GAUUAUGGCUCAGAUUGAACGCUGGCGGCGUGCUUAACACAUGCAAGUCGCGCGUGAAAGGACUUCGGUCCGAGUAAAGCGGCGCACGGGUGAGUAACGCGUGGAUGAUCUACCCAUGAGUUAGGAAUAACGGCUGGAAACGGUCGCUAAUACCAAAUACGCUCCGAUUUCAACUUCGGGGGAAAGGUGGCCUCUGCUUGCAAGCUACUGCUCAUGGAUGAGUCCGCGUCCCAUUAGCUAGUUGGUGGGGUAACGGCCCACCAAGGCGACGAUGGGUAGCCGGUCUGAGAGGAUGACCGGCCACACUGGGACUGGAACACGGCCCAGACUCCUACGGGAGGCAGCAGUGGGGAAUAUUGCGCAAUGGGCGAAAGCCUGACGCAGCGACGCCGCGUGAGGGAUGAAGGUCCUCGGAUCGUAAACCUCUGUCAGGAGGGAAGAACCGCCACGGUGCUAAUCAGCCGUGGUCUGACGGUACCUCCAAAGGAAGCACCGGCUAACUCCGUGCCAGCCGCAGC
rnacentral:rRNA from 1 species